UACGAAGGGGCUAGCGUUGCUCGGAAUUACUGGGCGUAAAGCGCACGUAGGCGGAUUGUUAAGUCGGGGGUGAAAUCCUGGAGCUCAACUCCAGAACUGCCUUCGAUACUGGCGAUCUCGAGUCGGGAGAGGUGAGUGGAACUGCGAGUGUAGAGGUGAAAUUCGUAGAUAUUCGCAAGAACACCAGUGGCGAAGGCGGCUCACUGGCCCGAUACUGACGCUGAGGUGCGAAAGCGUG
rnacentral:rRNA from 1 species